UUUGGAAACAAUGCCUCAAGA
rnacentral:misc_RNA from 1 species